rnacentral:lncRNA from 1 species
AAAUAAUUUAGCCCACGCACCUGCACAGAAAACCCACAUCAACGAGUUUGCUUCGGCAGUCAGGCUGGGGAACCAAAGGCUAAGCCUGAAAGCAAACGUGAAAUCAAAUACGAAAAUUGCACAGCAGCCCCGCAGGAGUCAGCUAUCCAGAGGCCCCGCUGAAACCCCAUCUGUCAGUCAAUUGAUCCAAUGCUGCGACACUCCCUGAGUCGUUACAUGAGGAUGUCAAGAGCUACUCAGAAGAUCUCAGGGCUUCUCCAGCCACCCUGCCCAAAAGGUCAUGAUGUUAUGCCACCCAUGAUCCCCAAGGCUGACGAGAAGAGCUGUGUUCAAGAAGAGGAACAUGCGGAGCACCAUGACUGAUGAAGGAGACACAGAUGUAAAAAUGGCAGCAGGGUAGAAAGCAAAGAUGGAAACGCUACAUUGUGAACUUCUGAGUGAGUAUUUGUGACUUGGGAUUUUGGAGGUUUUCACUCAUUGCAGAACCGGGCUGUUGA